GACUCAUCCAAACCCAUAAGCUGAUUAAAGCCCAAAUCGACCGGUGGUGGAAAGCUAAGACCAGAAGCCCAGGCGAACCCAACCCGUCCAAGAGAUGAACGGCCUCUGUUCUACUUUCGUGGGUCUCCCGUGCACAGGGCCCUGCUUCUCGCAGUCCCUUCCUCUGAAACGCUAGCCCUCCUCCACUUCCGGAUCUCCCCCAAGCCUCCACCAAGACCGCAUCUUCCCUCCAACACCGUCGCUGCCGCCGCCCAAGUGCUCCGCCUCCGCCACCACCUCGGACACCGUGUGGUCGUCUUCGUCGGCAAAGAAGACACGGAGCUCCGCGUCUCCUGUGGCGCGGAUCACAAGGAUGCGAGUCCCGAGUUUUUGGAAUGCAUUCAGCAGACCCAAAGGGUGGUGGAGCUUCUCAAGAAGAACAGAGAUAUGCUCUUUGGCGAGAUUGAGUUAACUAUCAUGAUCAAGGAUCCUAGAGAUACUGAAUGUAAAAGACUGCUUGGCAUCGAGGACCCUGAUGGAGUCAUAAGGGAUGACUUGGUUGCUGCUUUGGAAGACACGUGUGCUGCAUUUCUGUAAGAUGCAUAACUUCAUAUUCUAUGAAUGAAGGGAGAAUUCCAGAGAAUCAUGUCGCUUUUCGGUUUCUUUCUAAGGAGAUGAUGGAAUGGCUUGAUCUUAAGGUCUAGCAUGAAUGGCGACAACAAAGACUCAAUGGUUGUUUAUACGACUGAAUGACACCUGAACAACUAAUAGUCCUGAUGAUAUAUUACCAAAGAAUGCAGCCCUGGUUCUUUACGUCAUAGAAUGAAGAAAUGAUGGCUAAGAAUUAUUCGUUGGAGUCUGUGUUUGGUCAACAGCUUAACCGCCAGAAAAGAUCAUGCAGAAAACUGUGAUAAUUAUGUUCUCAAACCAUCACUAAUUUCUCUUGCCAAAACCCUGUUGACAUGCCAUGCCUGCCUAUGAUGAAGAGUUUGCAAUGGCAGGCGCUGAAGCCUAUGAGGAAGUGAAGGGAAAAAAAAAAAUGUAAAGGAAGAAGAAGAGGAAGAACUUUGCUGUGAAGAAAGCUCAAUUUCCUACCAGCUCUAUAGCUUACAUUUCCCACCAGACAAGGAGAAGGAAAUCUCUGUGGAUCCUGUAUCACUGAAGCAACUAGCAAAGGCGGGAGAUCCUUUGUCACAAUCGCCACUGACUCUGCCGCCACUCGGAAAGCCUAAGUUCAUCAGCUGCAGCCUUCCAAGUUCAGCUCUCUAAUCGCCAUAAUCUGAUUCAGCUACAAAGUGUUUCAAGAAAUGGAAAAUUCCAGCACAACUGCCCCACCCUGCGCUCGCCAGCAAUCCACAAAUCUAUCUCACCUCAACCAACAACAAGGAAUUCUCCUUUGUAGGAGCAAGUCUUGUGCUGAGGGUAGAUCUUCUUCCCCAUCAGAUGAGUUCGAAGUUGAGCUUUGGUGGUGCUGGCAAGUAACUUGUAGUGUACAUUGCCCUUGUUCGCUAGUGCUGCUAAUGGAAGCAGUUUGUUGUUCCCAAAAACUUGUCUAGGCUUGAACUUGCCGCGCCACAUCCUAAGCAUCCGAACGGAGUAGAAAGAAUUGAGCACCACGAGGUAAAUGGCUUCAAUGGGAAUCCAACUUUUGUUAGGU